rnacentral:rRNA from 1 species
CGACAGGCUUAACACAUGCAAGUCGAGGGGCAGCACAGGUAGCAAUACCGGGUGGCGACUGGCGCACGGGUGAGUAACGCGUAUGCAACUUACCUAUCAGAGGGGGAUAACCCGGCGAAAGUCGGACUAAUACCGCAUGAAGCAGGGGCCCCGCAUGGGGAUAUUUGCUAAAGAUUCAUCGCUGAUAGAUAGGCAUGCGUUCCAUUAGGCAGUUGGCGGGGUAACGGCCCACCAAACCGACGAUGGAUAGGGGUUCUGAGAGGAAGGUCCCCCACAUUGGUACUGAGACACGGACCAAACUCCUACGGGAGGCAGCAGUGAGGAAUAUUGGUCAAUGGCCGAGAGGCUGAACCAGCCAAGUCGCGUGAGGGAUGAAGGUUCUAUGGAUCGUAAACCUCUUUUAUAAGGGAAUAAAGUGCGGGACGUGUCCCGUUUUGUAUGUACCUUAUGAAUAAGGAUCGGCUAACUCCGUGCCAGCAGCCGCGGUAAUACGGAGGAUCCGAGCGUUAUCCGGAUUUAUUGGGUUUAAAGGGUGCGUAGGCGGCCUUUUAAGUCAGCGGUGAAAGUCUGUGGCUCAACCAUAGAAUUGCCGUUGAAACUGGGGGGCUUGAGUAUGUUUGAGGCAGGCGGAAUGCGUGGUGUAGCGGUGAAAUGCAUAGAUAUCACGCAGAACCCCGAUUGCGAAGGCAGCCUGCCAAGCCAUUACUGACGCUGAUGCACGAAAGCGUGGGGAUCAAACAGGAUUAGAUACCCUGGUAGUCCACGCAGUAAACGAUGAUCACUAGCUGUUUGCGAUACACUGUAAGCGGCACAGCGAAAGCGUUAAGUGAUCCACCUGGGGAGUACGCCGGCAACGGUGAAACUCAAAGGAAUUGACGGGGGCCCGCACAAGCGGAGGAACAUGUGGUUUAAUUCGAUGAUACGCGAGGAACCUUACCCGGGUUUGAACGCAUUCGGACCGAGGUGGAAACACCUUUUCUAGCAAUAGCCGUUUGCGAGGUGCUGCAUGGUUGUCGUCAGCUCGUGCCGUGAGGUGUCGGCUUAAGUGCCAUAACGAGCGCAACCCUUGCCACUAGUUACUAACAGGUAAAGCUGAGGACUCUGGUGGGACUGCCAGCGUAAGCUGCGAGGAAGGCGGGGAUGACGUCAAAUCAGCACGGCCCUUACAUCCCGGGCGACACACGUGUUACAAUGGCGUGGACAAAGGGAAGCCACCUGGCGACAGGGAGCGAAUCCCCAAACCACGUCUCAGUUCGGAUCGGAGUCUGCAACCCGACUCCGUGAAGCUGGAUUCGCUAGUAAUCGCGCAUCAGCCAUGGCGCGGUGAAUACGUUCCCGGGCCUUGUACACACCGCCCGUCAAGCCAUGGGAGCCGGGGGUACCUGAAGUCCGUAACCGAAAGGAUCGGCCUAGGGUAAAACUGGUGACUGGGGCUAAGUC